rnacentral:rRNA from 1 species
UACGUAGGGUCCGAGCGUUGUCCGGAAUUAUUGGGCGUAAAGAGCUCGUAGGUGGCGCGGGCAGUCAACGGUGAAAGUUCGGGGCUCAACCCUGAAUCGGCCGUCGAUACUCCCGUGCUGGAGCACUGUAGAGGCUAAUGGAAUUCCGGGUGUAGCGGUGGAAUGCGUAGAGAUCCGGAAGAACACCGGUGGCGAAGGCGGUUAGCUGGGCAGUUGCUGACACUGAGGCGCGACAGCGUGGGGAGCAAACAGG